rnacentral:rRNA from 1 species
UACGAACCGUACAAACGUUAUUCGGAAUCACUGGGCUUAAAGGGUGCGUAGGCGGCCAUGUAAGUGGGGUGUGAAAUCCCUCGGCUCAACCGAGGAACUGCGCUCCAUACUGCAUGGCUUGAGGGAGACAGGGGUAAGCGGAACUGAUGGUGGAGCGGUGAAAUGCGUUGAUAUCAUCAGGAACACCGGUGGCGAAAGCGGCUUACUGGGUCUCUUCUGACGCUGAGGUACGAAAGCGUGGGGAGCAAACAGG